UACAGAGGUCUCAAGCGUUGUUCGGAUUCAUUGGGCGUAAAGGGUGCGUAGGCGGAUGGCACAGUCAGAUGUGAAAUUCCCGGGCUUAACCUGGGGGCUGCAUUUGAUACGUGUUGUCUAGAGUGAGGAAGAGGGUUGUGGAAUUCCCAGUGUAGAGGUGAAAUUCGUAGAUAUUGGGAAGAACACCGGUGGCGAAGGCGGCAACCUGGUCCUUGACUGACGCUGAGGCGCGAAAGCGUGGGGAGCAAACAGG
rnacentral:rRNA from 1 species